UCAAGCUCCUGUGUGUGUCAAAUUUCUGAUUUUCAGUUUGGUUAUCUCGACUAAUCAGUAUGAUCUUUUCUCACCACUCUCUCCUUGAAGUGGUGCUCUUCUAGUUGUUAGCUGAAAAUUGUAAAUGUCAGUGGUGGUUACAGUACAUGGUCAUGACCCGUACUACUGAUGCAUAUCUACACUAACGAAAAAAAGCAAAAAAGAUUAGGACACUGGAUAAUUGAACUUUUCAUGCACGAUUAUAUAUACAACAAAUCUUUUAAGAAGUCAACAGAUGAAUUAGAGGAUAGAGUAGCAUCACAACGGCCUGCAUGUUUAUUAGAUGAAAAGGAAUAAUAGAAAUUAUUGAUCAUGUUAGAUGAAAAAGAUUAUUUAAGCCCUGGUUGAGAUAUGGAAGAGGUAAUUAAUAAUUAGUACCCGGUAAGAGCAGCAUGGAGAUGAGUAAGGAAAGCCCAGAAUUUGCUCAUUAUUACUUAAAUAACUAUGGUCAUAGAUCUAGCCAAUUGAAAUUAGA
rnacentral:lncRNA from 1 species